UGCUCCAUCGUCUAAUGGUUUAGGAUACAAGACCCUCAAUCUUGUGAUGCGGGUUCAACUCCCGUUGGAGUAA
rnacentral:tRNA from 1 species